rnacentral:rRNA from 1 species
AAUCAACGCUGGCGGCGUGCCUCAGACAUGCAAGUCGAACGAUUAAAGCUCUCUUCGGAGAGUGCAUAGAGUGGCGCACGGGUGAGUAACACGUAAGUAAUCUACCUUCGAGUGGGGAAUAACAUCGGGAAACCGAUGCUAAUACCGCAUAAUGCAGCGGCAUCGCAAGAUGACAGUUGUUAAAGGAGCAAUUCGCUUGAAGAGGAGCUGCGGCAGAUUAGCUAGUUGGUAAGGUAAUGGCUUACCAAGGCUACGAUCUGUAUCCGGUCUAAGAGGACGGUCGGACACACUGACACUGAAUAACGGGUCAGACUCCUACGGGAGGCAGCAGUCGGGUAAUUUUGGGUCAAUGGGCGAAAGCCUGACCCAGCAACGCCGCGUGAAGGAUGAAGUAUUUCGGUAUGUUAAACUUACGAAAGAAUAGGAAGAAUAAUGACGGUACUAUUUAUAAGGUCCGGCUAACUACGUGCCAGCCGCCGCGGUAAC